CCUACGGGAGGCAGCAGUAAGGAAUAUUGGUCAAUGGACGAAAGUCUGAACCAGCCAUGCCGCGUGAAGGAUUAAGGCCCUCUGGGUUGUAAACUUCUUUUAUCUGGGACGAAAAAAGGGUAUUCUUACUCACUUGACGGUACCAGAGGAAUAAGCACCGGCUAACUCCGUGCCAGCAGCCGCGGUAAUACGGAGGGUGCAAGCGUUAUCCGGAUUUACUGGGUUUAAAGGGUGCGUAGGUGGGCUUGUAAGUCAGUGGUGAAAUCUCCGGGCUUAACCCGGAAACUGCCAUUGAUACUAUAGGUCUUGAAUUAUCUGGAGGUAAGCGGAAUAUGUCAUGUAGCGGUGAAAUGCUUAGAUAUGACAUAGAACACCAAUUGCGAAGGCAGCUUACUACGGAUACAUUGACACUGAGGCACGAAAGCGUGGGGAUCAAACAGGAUUAGAUACCCUGGUAGUCCACGCCCUAAACGAUGGAUACUCGACAUCAGCGAUACACUGUUGGUGUCUGAGCGAAAAGCAUUAAGUAUCCCACCUGGGAAGUACGAUCGCAAAGAUUGAAACUUCAAAAGGAAAUUGACGGCNGAGAGNGCGACGGACGACACGAGGGAGGAGG
rnacentral:rRNA from 1 species